rnacentral:rRNA from 1 species
GACGAACGCUGGCGGCGUGCUUAACACAUGCAAGUCGAACGGAAAGGCCUCUUUCGGGGGGUACUCGAGUGGCGAACGGGUGAGUAACACGUGAGUAACCUGCCCUUGACUUUGGGAUAACUUCAGGAAACUGGGGCUAAUACCGGAUAGGAGCUCCUGCUGCAUGGUGGGGGUUGGAAAGUUUCGGCGGUUGGGGAUGGACUCGCGGCUUAUCAGCUUGUUGGUGGGGUAGUGGCUUACCAAGGCUUUGACGGGUAGCCGGCCUGAGAGGGUGACCGGUCACAUUGGGACUGAGAUACGGCCCAGACUCCGACGGGAGGCAGCAGUGGGGAAUAUUGCACAAUGGGUGGAAGCCUGAUGCAGCAACGCCGUGUGCGGGAUGACGGCCUUCGGGUUGUAAACCGCUUUCGCUCAUAACGAAGCUUUGUGUGACGGUAGUGGGUAAAGAAGCACCGGCUAACUACGUG